rnacentral:lncRNA from 1 species
UGGGAAGAGGUUGGCUGUGCGUCGACGGCGCAGUGACGAGCUGUUGCUGCUGCUGUCGCCGAGAGAGAGACCGAGGGAGGCGGCGGCGCUCGUCGUUGCCAAGGGGGAAAGAGAGAGUUGGGGGUUAGGACGCUGGUGGUGGUGGCGUGAAGCCGCUGCCGUCGUCCGCUGGAUUUUCAGAAGGAGGCGACGGCGGAUCUGCUGCGAGGACGCCGGAGGCGGCGGAGCUCCGCGGCGGUUGCGCCUGCUGCGUGAAGGAGAGAGGGCUGGGUGCGUGAGUUUGUGUUGGUGCGAUGAGGGAGAUGGGAGAAGGGGGUCUGGCGGAACCAAAGUAAAGAGAGAGGAAGAUGAUGUGGUGAUUCGGCGGGCGGCGGCCAGUCGCCGGAGGAGGAGCCGUGGCGGCGGAAAUUUGAGGGAGCCGAGAGAGGGAGAGAAGAGUGC